UCACUGGCAGUUCACAAUCUCAUCUCAUUGUGGAAGAAUUCUUUGCAGAGCAUCAUUGGAGCCACAGAGACUACUCUACUUGAGACUCAGAAUGAAAGGACAGUUUCUAGGGAAAACUUGGACCUAGAAGAUACAGGAGAAGGUGACCUCAUGCUUGAAGCUGUUUGUUUAAGCUGAGCUUGGGAACUAUGGACUCAGUUGACAAACCUGAAGUGCUCAGAUCAUAUACUUAUGUCUUUGAUUCAGGCCUUGACAUUAACUGGCCACCGGGGGUGCAAUUUCCUGAGCUGCUUUCUUCUGCAUACCCUGAUGUCAUGAUGUUCUUUUACACUUCUAGCCCAGAACAAUUGAGUUGGCUAUCUAGGGACUGAGACUUCAGAAACCAUGAGACCCAGAUAAAUUUUCUUCCUCUACAAUUGUUCUUUUCAGAUCUUUUGCUCACGAUAUCAAAAAAGCUGAUUAAAACCUAUACUAAUAA